UUAGCUCAUAUUUGUAUGGAGUUAAAACGUUUGCCUACGGUUGCCGCUAGGGGCGCUGUUCCAAUUGCAUACAAAUUUGGCUUA
rnacentral:pre_miRNA from 1 species